rnacentral:lncRNA from 1 species
AAGAUGCAAUAAUGUCAAGAGAUGGGUUAUAUAUAAAGAUAUAUAUGGAGAGAAAAGCCAAGUUGCAUAUGUGAGAUGGAAUAAAAGUUGGAGCAGGAAUGGCAGAGGAAUAAGCAUCAAUAUGUCUUUCCAAUUGAUUUAGAUUUCCAACAGUUUUAGUUUGACUGCAAUAUAUCAUACGUUUCAUUAUAUUGGUAUGUCUAUAGUUAAUAUUUGAAUGCA